UUUCCGUAGGUGAACCUGCGGAAGGAUCAUUACUGAGUGAGGGCCCCUCGGGGUCCAACCUCCCACCCGUGUUUAACGAACCUUGUUGCUUCGGCGGGCCCGCCUCACGGCCGCCCGGGGGCAUCUGCCCCCGGGCCCGCGCCCGCCGAAGCCACCUGUGAACGCUGUCUGAAGUAUGCAGUCUAGACAAUUAUUAAAUUAAUUAAAACUUUCAACAACGGAUCUCUUGGUUCCG
rnacentral:misc_RNA from 1 species